UACGAAGGGGGCUAGCGUUGCUCGGAAUCACUGGGCGUAAAGGGCGCGUAGGCGGACUUUUAAGUCGGGGGUGAAAGCCCAGGGCUCAACCCUGGAAUUGCCUUCGAUACUGAGAGUCUUGAGUUCGGAAGAGGUUGGUGGAACUGCGAGUGUAGAGGUGAUAUUCGUAGAUAUUCGCAAGAACACCAGUGGCGAAGGCGGCCAACUGGUCCGAUACUGACGCUGAGGUGCGAAAGCGUGGGGAGCAAACAGG
rnacentral:rRNA from 1 species